CCUACGGGAGGCAGCAGUGAGGAAUAUUGGUCAAUGGACGAGAGUCUGAACCAGCCAAGUAGCGUGAAGGAUGACUGCCCUAUGGGUUGUAAACUUCUUGUAUAAAGGAAUAAAACGAGGCACGUGUGCCUUUUUGCAUGUACUUUAUGAAUAAGGAUCGGCUAACUCCGUGCCAGCAGCCGCGGUAAUACGGAGGAUCCGAGCGUUAUCCGGAUUUAUUGGGUUUAAAGGGAGCGUAGAUGGGUUGUUAAGUCAGUUUUGAAAGUUUGCGGCUCAACCGUAAAAUUGCCAUUGAUACUUGCAGUCUUGCGUCCAGUUGCGUUCGGCGGAAUUCGUGGUGUAGCGGUUA
rnacentral:rRNA from 1 species